GUCCUGGCAGUAAACGGUGCGCGUUUGGUGUUGGAGGAUUCGACCCCUUCCGUGCCGUAGCUAACGCGUUAAACGCGCCGCCUGGGGAGUACGGUCGCAAGAUUAAAACUCAAAGAAAUUGACGGGGGCCCGCACAAGCGGUGGAGUAUGUGGCUUAAUUCGAUGCAACGCGAAGAACCUUACCUGGGCUUGACAUGCGUCUCUAAGUCAGUGAAAGCUGGCGAGCGUAGCAAUACGCAAUUCGCACAGGUGCUGCAUGGCUGUCGU
rnacentral:rRNA from 1 species